GAUGAACGCUAGCGGCAGGCUUAAUACAUGCAAGUCGAGGGGCAGCACGGUUAGCAAUAACUGGUGGCGACCGGCGCACGGGUGCGUAACACGUAUACAAUCUACCUUAAACAGGGGGAUAGCCUUUCGAAAGAGAGAUUAAUACCCCGUAAUAAAUUGAACGGCAUCGUUUGAUUUUGAAAGCUCCGGCGGUUUGAGAUGAGUAUGCGUCUGAUUAGCUAGUUGGUGAGGUAACGGCUCACCAAGGCGACGAUCAGUAGGGGAUCUGAGAGGACUAACCCCCACACUGGUACUGAGACACGGACCAGACUCCUACGGGAGGCAGCAGUAAGGAAUAUUGGU
rnacentral:rRNA from 1 species